CUGAGCUUCACUUUUGUUCUUAGGAGCUGUUUGUUCACACCAGACAUGCCUGAAGAGUUUGCGCAAUAUGCAGCUUCUGUAUACAUCAGCCAGCCCAGGGAACAAGCAGCAAAGACACCACAGGUAAAUACCACAGUAGAAGUGUGAAGCUACAAGUCUAGACUGCUUCCCUCCAGUUAAAAGCAUCAAACUGUCCCUGAUACGCAGAGAACAUCUAUUUGCAUUUGGAUUGUCUGUGUGGUCUCCCAAGUCUGUUCUCAGUCUGAGGAGGGACUGAUUUCAGCAGGUAUCAUAGGAGAAAGAUUGAAAACCCAAGCAUGAUGAACAAGAGGAGGGAAACAUUGUUAACUGUGGCUGGAGAUCCUGGCUGUAUGAAGGAUGGGCCCCAUUUUCCAACCUUCCCUUAGAAGCAAGGUUGCACCCACAUUGCCUGUGACACAGGUCACGUUCUGAAGUAAAGCUUUGAGAAGGCCUGUGACACUAGAUGUAAUCCCCAGUGUCCAGUUCCUGAUAUCCAUUGAUGCUGGAAACACUGGUAUUGGAAGAGACCAAACACCAGUUUUGCAGGAGAGUGAAGCUGCAAAGCACUGCUGCGGAGAUGACUUGUUAACCGAGACAAGGAAAUCCAAACUGGGGUAGGAUUUUUAGGAUAGAAAGAUUAAAUGUAAGCAUAUUAUUUAAAUGUAGGAAUAUUAUUUAAAUGCUAAUACUUG